UACGUAGGGUGCGAGCGUUGUCCGGAAUUAUUGGGCGUAAAGGGCUCGUAGGCGGUUUGUCGCGUCGGGAGUGAAAACCUCGGGCUUAACUCGGGGCUUGCUUUCGAUACGGGCAGACUAGAGGUAUGCAGGGGAGAACGGAAUUCCUGGUGUAGCGGUGAAAUGCGCAGAUAUCAGGAGGAACACCGGUGGCGAAGGCGGUUCUCUGGGCAUGUCCUGACGCUGAGGAGCGAAAGUGUGGGGAGCGAACAGG
rnacentral:rRNA from 1 species